rnacentral:rRNA from 1 species
GAAAGAGCUUGCUCUUUUGGUGGCGAGUGGCGAACGGGUGAGUAAUACAUUGGAACGUACCGAGUAAUGGGGGAUAACUGUCCGAAAGGAUGGCUAAUACCGCAUACGCUCUGAGGAGGAAAGCGGGGGACCUUAGGGCCUCGCGUUAUUGGAGCGGCCAAUGUCUGAUUAGCUAGUUGGUGGGGUAAAGGCCUACCAAGGCGACGAUCAGUAGUGGGUCUGAGAGGAUGAUCCGCCACACUGGGACUGAGACACGGCCCAGACUCCUACGGGAGGCAGCAGUGGGGAAUUUUGGAC